UACAGAGGGUGCGAGCGUUGUCCGGAAUUACUGGGCGUAAAGAGCUCGUAGGUGGUUUGUCGCGUUGUUCGUGAAAACUCACAGCUCAACUGUGGGCGUGCGGGCGAUACGGGCAGACUGGAGUACUGCAGGGGAGACUGGAAUUCCUGGUGUAGCGGUGGAAUGCGCAGAUAUCAGGAGGAACACCGGUGGCGAAGGCGGGUCUCUGGGCAGUAACUGACGCUGGAGGAGCGAAAGCGUGGGGAGCAAACAGG
rnacentral:rRNA from 1 species